rnacentral:tRNA from 1 species
GGUAUAGCUCGGUGGUAACAGCGCCUGCUUAGCAUGCAGGGGCUCCUGGGUUCAAUCCCCAGUACC